CGAACUCUGGUAUUGAUUGGUGCUUGCAUCAUGAUUUACAUUUGAGUGAGUGGCGAACUGGUGAGUAACACGUGGGAAACCUGCCCAGAAGCGGGGGAUAACACCUGGAAACAGAUGCUAAUACCGCAUAACAACUUGGACCGCAUGGUCCGAGUUUGAAAGAUGGCUUCGGCUAUCACUUUUGGAUGGUCCCGCGGCGUAUUAGCUAGAUGGUGAGGUAACGGCUCACCAUGGCAAUGAUACGUAGCCGACCUGAGAGGGUAAUCGGCCACAUUGGGACUGAGACACGGCCCAAACUCCUACGGGAGGCAGCAGUAGGGAAUCUUCCACAAUGGACGAAAGUCUGAUGGAGCAACGCCGCGUGAGUGAAGAAGGGUUUCGGCUCGUAAAACUCUGUUGUUAAAGAAGAACAUAUCUGAGAGUAACUGUUCAGGUAUUGACGGUAUUUAACCAGAAAGCCACGGCUAACUACGUGCCAGCAGCCGCGGUAAUACGUAGGUGGCAAGCGUUGUCCGGAUUUAUUGGGCGUAAAGCGAGCGCAGGCGGUUUUUUAAGUCUGAUGUGAAAGCCUUCGGCUCAACCGAAGAAGUGCAUCGGAAACUGGGAAACUUGAGUGCAGAAGAGGACAGUGGAACUCCAUGUGUAGCGGUGAAAUGCGUAGAUAUAUGGAAGAACACCAGUGGCGAAGGCGGCUGUCUGGUCUGUAACUGACGCUGAGGCUCGAAAGUAUGGGUAGCAAACAGGAUUAGAUACCCUGGUAGUCCAUACCGUAAACGAUGAAUGCUAAGUGUUGGAGGGUUUCCGCCCUUCAGUGCUGCAGCUAACGCAUUAAGCAUUCCGCCUGGGGAGUACGGCCGCAAGGCUGAAACUCAAAGGAAUUGACGGGGGCCCGCACAAGCGGUGGAGCAUGUGGUUUAAUUCGAAGCUACGCGAAGAACCUUACCAGGUCUUGACAUACUAUGCAAAUCUAAGAGAUUAGACGUUCCCUUCGGGGACAUGGAUACAGGUGGUGCAUGGUUGUCGUCAGCUCGUGUCGUGAGAUGUUGGGUUAAGUCCCGCAACGAGCGCAACCCUUAUUAUCAGUUGCCAGCAUUAAGUUGGGCACUCUGGUGAGACUGCCGGUGACAAACCGGAGGAAGGUGGGGAUGACGUCAAAUCAUCAUGCCCCUUAUGACCUGGGCUACACACGUGCUACAAUGGAUGGUACAACGAGUUGCGAACUCGCGAGAGUAAGCUAAUCUCUUAAAGCCAUUCUCAGUUCGGAUUGUAGGCUGCAACUCGCCUACAUGAAGUCGGAAUCGCUAGUAAUCGCGGAUCAGCAUGCCGCGGUGAAUACGUUCCCGGG
rnacentral:rRNA from 2 species